rnacentral:rRNA from 1 species
CCUAAAGAAUUUGGCGGUGUUUUAGUCUAUUCAGAGGAAUUUGUCCCGUGAUCGAUAGUCCUCGAUUUAAUCGUUCUUAAUUUUGUAAUCAGUAUGUAUACCGCCGUUAUCAGUUUAUAUUAUUAGAUUAUUAAUUUACUUUAUUCUAAUUAGGAUUUAUUUCAGGUCAAGGUGCAGUUUAUAAUUAAGUGGAGAUGGAUUACAUUAUUAUUUGAAUAUACGUAUUGUUGAUUUAAAUUAUUUUCAUGAAGGUGGAUUUGUUUGUAAUUUUAUUUAUAUUGGUAUUUUGAUUUUAGCUCUAAGAUGAGUACACAUCGCCCGUCGCUCUA